rnacentral:tRNA from 1 species
UAUAUUUUAGUGUAAUGAAGCACGAAAAUUUUUGAAAUUUUUAGUUUUAGUUUAAUUCUAAAAAAUAUAA